rnacentral:rRNA from 1 species
CCUACGGGUGGCAGCAGUGAGGAAUAUUGGUCAAUGGACGAGAGUCUGAACCCGCCAAGUAGCGUGAAGGAUGACUGCCCUAUGGGUUGUAAACUUCUUUUAUAUGGGAAUAAAACGUUCCACGUGUGGGAUUUUGUAUGUACCAUAUGAAUAAGGAUCUGCUAACUCCGUGCCAGCAGCCGCGGUAAUACGGAGGAUCCGAGCGUUAUCCGGAUUUAUUGGGUUUAAAGGGAUCGUAGGUGGAUUGUUAAGUCAGUUGUGAAAGUUUGCGGCUCAACCGUAAAAUUGCAGUUGAAACUGGCAGUCUUGAGUACAGUAGAGGUGGGCGGAAUUCGUGGUGUAGCGGUGAAAUGCUUAGAGAUCACGAAGAACUCCGAUUGCGAAGGCAGUUCACUGGACUGCAACUGACACUGAGGCUCGAAAGUGUGGGUAUCAAACAGGAUUAGAUACCCUAGUAGUC